rnacentral:rRNA from 1 species
CGCGAGUAUUCAGAGUUUGAUCCUGGCUCAGGACGAACGCUGCGGCGUGCCUAACACAUGCAAGUCAACGGGGUCAAUUCCUUCGGGGAUUGACUUAGUGGCGAACGGGUGAGUAACGCGUGAGAAACCUACCUUUCAGUGGGGGACAACAGUUGGAAACGACUGCUAAUACCGCGUGAUGUAUUCGGAGGGCAUCCUCUGAAUACCAAAGCUUUAUGUGCUGGAAGAUGGUCUCGCGUCUGAUUAGCUAGUUGGCGGGGUAACGGCCCACCAAGGCGACGAUCAGUAGCCGGUCUGAGAGGAUGAACGGCCACAUUGGGACUGAGAUACGGCCCAG